UACGUAGGGUGCAAGCGUUGUCCGGAAUUAUUGGGCGUAAAGAGCUCGUAGGCGGUUCGUCGCGUCGGCUGUGAAAACCCGGAGCUCAACUCCGGGCCUGCAGUCGAUACGGGCGGACUAGAGUUCGGCAGGGGAGACUGGAAUUCCUGGUGUAGCGGUGAAAUGCGCAGAUAUCAGGAGGAACACCGGUGGCGAAGGCAGCUCGCUGGGACGGUACUGACACUGAGACGCGAAAGCGUGGGGAGCAAACAGG
rnacentral:rRNA from 1 species